CCUACGGGAGGCUGCAGUGGGGAAUAUUGGACAAUGGGGGCAACCCUGAUCCAUCCAUGCCGCGUGUGUGAAGAAGGCCCUCGGGUUGUAAAGCACUUUCAGUGAGGAAGAACGCCUGGUGGUUAAUACCCAUCAGGAAAGACAUCACUCACAGAAGAAGCACCGGCUAACUCCGUGCCAGCAGCCGCGGUAAUACGGAGGGUGCGAGCGUUAAUCGGAAUUACUGGGCGUAAAGCGCGCGUAGGUGGCUUGAUAAGCCGGUUGUGAAAGCCCCGGGCUCAACCUGGGAACGGCAUCCGGAACUGUCAAGCUAGAGUGCAGGAGAGGAAGGUAGAAUUCCCGGUGUAGCGGUGAAAUGCGUAGAGAUCGGGAGGAAUACCAGUGGCGAAGGCGGCCUUCUGGACUGACACUGACACUGAGGUGCGAAAGCGUGGGUAGCAAACAGGAUUAGAUACCCGAGUAGUC
rnacentral:rRNA from 1 species